GUGGGGAAUAUUGGACAAUGGGCGCAAGCCUGAUCCAGCCAUGCCGCGUGAGUGAUGAAGGCCUUAGGGUUGUAAAGCUCUUUCAGUAGGGAAGAUAAUGACGGUACCUACAGAAGAAGCCCCGGCUAACUUCGUGCCAGCAGCCGCGGUAAUACGAAGGGGGCUAGCGUUGUUCGGAUUUACUGGGCGUAAAGCGCACGUAGGCGGAUUGUUAAGUCAGAGGUGAAAUCCUGGAGCUCAACUCCAGAACUGCCUUUGAUACUGGCAAUCUCGAGUCCGGAAGAAGUGAGUGGAACUCCUAGUGUAGAGGUGGAAUUCGUAGAUAUUAGGAAGAACACCAGUGGCGAAGGCGGCUCACUGGUCCGGUACUGACGCUGAGGUGCGAAAGCGUGGGGAGCAAACAGGAUUAGAAACCCGGGUAGUCC
rnacentral:rRNA from 1 species